rnacentral:SRP_RNA from 1 species
CGGCGGGCUAGGUGGGGUCUUGGGCAGGCCCUUAAGGAGCGAAAGCUCCGACCGAAGCCCUUACGGACCGAGGCCAUGGGGCGGUAAGACUUAGAUGCGAGCCCCAAGUCGUAACGAUGAACUUUUGUCCCAUGGGAUCCAUGGACGUGUGAACCGGGCCAGGCUCGGGAGAGAGCAACCCUAAGCACGUCCCAUGGAUGCUCAUGGGGGUGCAGAAGGGAGCCAAGACUUGGAUAAGCUCGCGUCUAAGUUCCUAUCAACCCAUGGUGCCCGCCG